rnacentral:rRNA from 2 species
CUUUAUCGGAGAGUUUGAUCCUGGCUCAGGACGAACGCUGGCGGCGUGCCUAAUACAUGCAAGUCGAGCGGACAGAUGGGAGCUUGCUCC